rnacentral:rRNA from 1 species
CGAAGGGCAAGCGUUGUUCGGAAUUACUGGGCGUAAAGGGUGCGUAGGCGGUUUGCCAAGUCAGAUGUGAAAGCCCAGGGCUUAACCCUGGAACUGCAUUUGAAACUGGCGAACUAGAAUAUUGGAGAGGUAAGUGGAAUUCCCAGUGUAGAGGUGAAAUUCGUAGAUAUUGGGAAGAACAUCGAUGGCGAAGGCAGCUUACUGGACAAUUAUUGACGCUGAGGCACGAAAGCGUGGGGAGCAAACAGGAUU